rnacentral:rRNA from 1 species
UACGUAGGGUGCAAGCGUUGUCCGGAUUUAUUGGGUUUAAAGGGUGCGUAGGCGGCCUUGUAAGUCAGUGCUGAAAUAUCCCGGCUUAACCGGGAGGGUGGCAUUGAUACUGCAGGGCUUGAGUUAAGUUGAAGUUGGCGGAAUUGACGGUGUAGCGGUGAAAUGCUUAGAUAUCGUCAAGAACACCGAUAGUGAAGACAGCUAACUAAACUUUUACUGACGCUGAGGCACGAAAGUGUGGGGAUCAAACAGG